ACCUGGCUGGCUCAAUCAGUGGAGUGUGUGACUCUUGAUCUUGGAGUCGUGAGUUCGAUCCCCAUGUUGGGUG
rnacentral:tRNA from 1 species